AUACGGAGGGUGCAAACGUUAAUCGGAAUUACUGGGCGUAAAGCGCGCGUAGGUGGUUUAGUAAGUCGGAUGUGAAAGCCCUGGGCUCAACCUGGGAAUUGCAUUCGAUACUGCUUGACUAGAGUAUGGUAGAGGGAAGUGGAAUUUCCGGUGUAGCGGUGAAAUGCGUAGAUAUCGGAAGGAACACCAGUGGCGAAGGCGACUUUCUGGGCCAAUACUGACGCUGAGGUGCGAAAGCGUGGGGAGCAAACAGGAUUAGAAACCCCGGUAGUCC
rnacentral:rRNA from 1 species